rnacentral:rRNA from 1 species
UACGGAGGGUGCAAGCGUUGUCCGGAUUUAUUGGGUUUAAAGGGUGCGUAGGCGGCCCGAUAAGUCAGUGGUGAAAGCCUCCAGCUCAACUGGAGAACUGCCAUUGAUACUGUCGGGCUUGAGUACAGACGAGGUUGGCGGAAUUGAUUGUGUAGCGGUGAAAUGCAUAGAUACAAUCAAGAACACCGAUUGCGUAGGCAGCUAACUAGGCUGUAACUGACGCUGAGGCACGAAAGCGUGGGGAG